AGCUCCAAUAGCGUAUAUUAAAGUUGUUGCAGUUAAAAAGCUCGUAGUUGGAUUUCGGAAUGGGUCAGUUGGUCCGCCUCACGGUGUGUUACUGACUGGUCUGUUCUUCUUCGCAAAGACUGUGUAUUCUCUUUGUUGAGUGUGCGCAGGAUUUACGACGUUUACUUUGAAAAAAUUAGAGUGUUCAAAGCAGGCCUACCGCUUGAAUACAUGAGCAUGGAAUAAUGGAAUAGGACUUUGGUCUUAUUUUGUUGGUUUCUAAGACCGAAGUAAUGAUUAAGAGGGACAGUUGGGGGCAUUAGUAUUUCGUUGUCAGAGGUGAAAUUCUUGGAUUUACGAAAGACUAACAACUGCGAAAGCAUUUGCCAAGAAUGUUUUCAUUAAUCAAGAACGAAAGUAC
rnacentral:rRNA from 1 species